ACACUAUAGGUGGCGAACGUGCCUCACCGGCCCUGAUCAAGGGGCGCCUCAUGAUGUCCUUGAUGGUGGGCCUCCUGCCGGGAUUGAUUCUCAGUAGAUCGAGGAUGACAUUGGAAAAAUUGAUGGACACGUGGUGAGGAAUUUGAAGGUUGCCCGAGGUGACCUCGUUCUUCAUGCCUGCAAACGAACUGGCCUGGAAAGGGUAACGUCCAGACACCAUGAGGAAGAGCAGAACCCCCAAACACCACACAUCAACGGGAUAAGCUUCAUAUUCGUGCUGUGCAAAGAGUUCUGGGGCACAAUAGGGCCCAGUGCCGCAGAAACCCCGCAGUUUCUGCCCAGGAGUCACUUUGACGGCGAGACUAAAAUCUAUCAGUUUGGAGUUCCCUCUGCAGUCCAACAGGAUGUUCGUGGCUUUAAUGUCUCUGUGGACAACUCGGUUAUCAUGACAGUAAUCCACGGCACGUGCGAUCUGCGUGAAUAUCCUUUGGGCCUCAAUCUCCUCUAAAGGCCCCCGUUCCAGGAUGCGCCUCAGCAGCUCUCCCUCGGAGACGUGCUCCAUCACCAGCAAUCUCCACAGCCGGCUCCUGAUGGAGCAGACUUGGUUGAAGAGGAAGGUGGACAUGCUGAGGCAGGAAAACAAGGAAGUGCAAGAGGAUUGGGCCCUGCUGCAGCACCAGAUGAUGGACCUGCAGCAGAUCUGUGAGGACCAAGAGGAGGAGGCCUGCGACCUCCAGACCCAGGAACUGUCCAAGUGUGCGCACGCCUGUGUGCAACCCUGCACUGAACACCAGCUUGUAGUGAGCAGGAGCGGGAAAGACUGGAGAAGCCCCUGCGGAACGCCAGGAAGCAGAAGCAGCUGGCCUUCCAGGACUGAGCAUUAAGGCUGCAGCAUCAAUUUGAGGAGCUCCAGAUGAGGUCUGAAGAGCUGUGCCUUGAACUGGACCUGGCCAUAGCCCACGAGGAGAGCCUCCUGCAGAAGGAGCUGCUGCACCAGGAGCCACCCGCUGAGCCCCAGGAAACAUGGACUUUCUGGGAGGAAUAGUCCUCUUCAGAAUGGGUUUCCCUUGUGUGAACAGGCCCUGAUUCUAUCUAGCCAGUGAGCCAGCCAGGCUGCUUCUGGGUCU